GCUUCAGUGGCCUAAUGGUUAGAGCAUCAGCCUCGGAUCCUAGAGGUCCUGGGUUCUAUACCCAGUCGAGUCA